CAAGUUUUGUAUUUCUGGGGCAUUUAGUUGUGUUGUUAUAGUCACGAUGCACUGUUGUGAGUUAUGUGGGUCCGGAUUGUGGUUUUGUGGUGUGGUUGUGUUGUUACAAUCAGGAGGGAAUGCUUUUGUGUUGUGUUGCCAAGUUUUGUAUUUCUGGGGCGUUUAGUUGUGUUGUUAUAGUCACGAUGCGUUGUUGUGAGUUUUGUGGGUCCGGAUUGAGGUUUUGUGGUGUGGUUGUGUUGUUACAACCUGGAGGGAAGGCUUUUGCGUUGUGUUGUUACAACCUGGAGGGAAGGCUUUUGCAUUGUGUUGCCAAGUUUCGUAUUUCUGGGGCGUUUAGUUGUGUUGUUAUAGUCACGAUGCGUUGUUGUGAGUUUUGUGGGUCCUGUGUGGUUUUGUGGUGUGGUUGUGUUGUUACAACUGGGAGGCAAGGCUUUUGCAUUGUGUUGCCAAGUUUUGUAUUUCUGGGGCGUUUAGUUGUGUUCUUAUCGCAUGAUGCGUUGUUGUGAGUUUUGUGGGUCUGGAUUGUGGUUUUGUGGUGUGGUUGUGUUGUUGUAACCUGGAGGCAAGCCUUUUGUAUUGUGUUGCCAAAUUUCGUAUUUCUGGGAUGUUUAGUUUUGUUGUUAUAGUCACUGCGCAAACAACUUUAUCAUUUUAUAUAUAUAGAUAGAUAAAUACAAGAAAUGUUGCUUCUCCACUGGGACCACUGCGCAUGCAGAGCCCACGGCACAAGGAGCCCUGAUGCACAAUGUUCUGCCAAGGCACAACUCCCCAUGUGUCCCCUUGUGCAUCAACAUCACAAUGUACUAUGCAGCACGGUUUUGUGUUAUGUUAGUGUCAUAACUCCAUCACCAUAAAGUGACACGUCAUAGCCUCUGAUGCAAGGUGUCAGAAAACACACCUGUGUGUACAGAUACGGACAUGACACAACUAUAUAUCUCACUAGCUUUGCCCGGCCAUGCGUUGCUGUGGCUUAUGGGAAUCCUUUGUUGGCCAGAUGGAAUAGCAGUGAAUAGCCUUGCAGUCUCAAAGCCUGGCCGUUUUCUGGAGUCGCUGGAGCUUUUUGUUGUAUGAACGUAGAGGCAUAGAUGAGGGGUUGUGCUGCCAAGUUUAGUGUUUCUGGGAUGUGUAGUUUUGUUGUUUUGUCCUAGGCCAACAUUUCAUUACCCUUUUAUAUUUAGAGAUAGAUGAGUCACUUCUUUGGACCCAGGCAGCAGAUUGGCAAGAUUCUACCUAAACUCCUGGGAGGAGAUGCCAAGCAUCAGAGAGGAAAGGUGAAGCAGCAGCAUGCCUUCCAGGUCUCGAUUGCUCUGGCUUUUGGGCCGGCCGUACGUACCUCCAGGUAGGGGACGGGGGUCUCUGGGCUGAGCGGGUACUCCCUCAGCAGCCGCUCCUCGUCCAGGAACUUCCCGGCCCGGCCGUUGAAGGCCGGCUGGAAGAGGCCGUAGUUGAGGACAUCCUUGAGGCUGUGGUUCAGCGUGCAGAGGAUGCGCUGCUUGGAGAACCAGACCGGCACGUCCGGGUUCAGCCGCAGACACUUCUGUGGAAGGAAGGAGAGAAGGGGCAGAUGUCAGAGAAGGGUGGCCAGAGCAGGCUCACGUCCAGUCCGGCCCCAAGGUGGACCCUGCAGGACACUUCCCCCUUUGCAGGCAGACAGGAAGGAAGGGACAAAGACAGCAAAACAAAGGGUGUGUCUACACUACGCAUGGGCCAACUUGGGCCCUUCAGGUGUUUUGGACUUCCAAAACACCUGGAGGGCCCAGGUUGGCCCAUGCCUGGUCUACACUGUCCAAUUUUGGCCCUCCCUACAGGUGUUUUGGACUUCGACUCCCACAAUUCCUAACAGCUGGUAAGUCUUGCAGCUUAUCUGAUGUGGCCUGACCAAGAACAAGCCAGGAGAGUCAAGACACAGAUCCACCCAAAGGAAAAGUGUUCUUGCCGUGCAUCAGGGGAACCACUGUAUUGAAAACAUUGACUACAAAAACAUUAACUACUACAAAGCAGUUGGAUAAUACAGAACGUUGGAUAAGCGAAGGUUGGAUAAGCGAGAUUCUACUGUACCGUAAAUAAAUAAAUAAAUAAAAUAUGCAUUUGUACGAUUAAAAAAUCGACAUUUUCAAAUAACGUGGGCUAUGCUGGCCCCCCCAAGUCAGUAUUAAUAAUAAUAAUGAUCAAUUCAACAUAGUUUGUGGCAGCCACAAAAGCGAAGUUUCUGGUGUGUAACAACUUCAUUCAAAGUAAGGACGGCACAACAAAACAGGAAAUAAGACUUUCAAACCAGGAACAGAACGUUUUCCAAAUUGUGUUACAGAUUGUCAUGGAAAGGAGGUCACGGUGAGGAAGAGGCCGGCUUGUCCUGUCCCCUAAUAGGACACAACGGAGGCAUGGACUCAAAUGGCAGGAAAGGGGAUCCCAUUUAAAUAUCAGGAACUAAGAACGUCUUGAUGGUCAGGUCUGCUUGAUGGUGGAACAGGGAGUGCCUGGGGGUGGACUCAGGGCCGGCCCUAGGUAAUUUUCAAGUGUAAGCGAACAGAAUUUUGGUGCCCCCCCCCACCAAUCACUGAAAAAUAAAAGCGUUGGAUAAGCAAAAAUGCUGGAUAAUAAGGAUGGAUUAAGGAAAAGCCUAUUAAACAUCAAAUUACAUUAUGAUUUUACAAAUUAAGCAUCAUGUUUUAGAACAAAUUGACAGAAAAAGCAGUUCAAUAUGUUAUGUAGAAAUUACUAUAUUUGCGAAUUUAGCACCAAACAUUGAACUGGGAUAUAGGGCAGUGUGGGCUCAGAUAACUCAGUUCAAAGCAGAUAUUGUGGGUUAUUCUGCCUUGAUAUUCUGGGUGAUAAGGUUGUGUGGAAGAGCCCUGAGGGUCCUUCCACACAGCCAUAUAACCCAGAAUAUCAAGGCAGAUAAUCCACAAUUAAAAGAAUGGCAUAAGCACUUUGCACUAUUUUAAAUUUUGUAUAUUGUAUAUUAUAAUUGUUUUAACUGUUUUAAUGUUUAUUUUAUUGUACUAUGGUGCAUUGGCAUAAAUUGCCAGUCUGUAAGCCGCCCUGAGUCCCUGCGGGUGAGAAGGGCGGGGUAGAAAUGAUAGAAAUAAAUAAAUAAAUGGCCACCGAAAGUGAAUCUGGCCCCUGGUAUUAAAAAAAACUCUAAAAUCAGGACAGUAAAUAAAGAACACCACUCAGAAAACAGAGGAAUUCCAGACAGGAAACAAUCAGGGCCAACUAACACCUCCCAACAAAGGAUUCCCCCAGACAGGAAGCAGACAGGCUUUGAAGUUGCAAAGCCAUUCAAUGCUAAUCAAGGUGGCCACUUACAACAUUCACACUUGCCUCAAGGACUGACAUUCCACAUAUACAGUAGAGUCUCAUUUAUCCAACACUCGCUUAUCCAACGUUCUGGAUUAUCCAAUGCUUUUUUGUAGUCAAUGUUUUCAAUACAUUGUGAUAUUUUGGUGCCAAGUUCGUAAAUACAGUAAUUUCUACAUAGCAUUACUGUAUAUUGAACUACUUUUUCUGUCAAAUUUGUUGCAUAACAUGAUGUUUUGGUGCUUAAUUUGUAAAAGCAUAACCUAAUUUGAUGUUUAAUAGGCUUCUCCUUAAUCUCUCCUUAUUAUCCAACAUAUUAGCUUAUCCAACGUUCUGUUGGCCCGUUUAUGUUGGAUAAGUGAGACUCUACUGUAUAUAUAAACCCCACAUAUAUAUAAAAGCCAGUUUCCAAGAGACCUCGCUGGAAGCGGCGGCGCGCAUGCUCUCCAGCCGCUUCACCUGGCGGGAGGCAGCCACAACCGCGCCCCCCAAACAACAGCGCCUGAGGCAACCGCCUCAAUUGCCUUAUGGGUGAACCGCCCCUGGGUGGACUGGAUGGCCUUAAAAGGUCCCAGCUCGAGGAUUUGAGGAUUUGUAGGGCCGGCCCCUGCGAAAGCAAGUGGAAAGAAAGCGCUGCCAAAUAGAAGAAAACAAGGGAAUGAUCUAUGGCUGUUGACAAACUGGAUGAAUCUGGAAGCAGGAUGAAUAAUGCAAUAAUUCGGAUGGGGACAAACAGCCUCCCGUUUGGGAAACAACUAUUCUUUUUUUUCUUGGCAAAAGGCUCCGAAAUCCUCAACAAAGGCACCUGCUCUGCCAAGUUAGUCUCUCCAAUGCCAUUCCCCCCGAUCCU
rnacentral:lncRNA from 1 species